CUACGGGGGGCUGCAGUGGGGAAUAUUGCACAAUGGGGGAAACCCUGAUGCAGCCAUGCCGCGUGUGUGAAGAAGGCCUUCGGGUUGUAAAGCACUUUCAGCGAGGAGGAAAGGUUGGUAGCUAAUAACUGCCAGCUGUGACGUUACUCGCAGAAGAAGCACCGGCUAACUCCGUGCCAGCAGCCGCGGUAAUACGGAGGGUGCAAGCGUUAAUCGGAAUUACUGGGCGUAAAGCGCACGCAGGCGGUUGGAUAAGUUAGAUGUGAAAGCCCCGGGCUCAACCUGGGAAUUGCAUUUAAAACUGUCCAGCUAGAGUCUUGUAGAGGGGGGUAGAAUUCCAGGUGUAGCGGUGAAAUGCGUAGAGAUCUGGAGGAAUACCGGUGGCGAAGGCGGCCCCCUGGACAAAGACUGACGCUCAGGUGCGAAAGCGUGGGGAGCAAACAGGAUUAGAUACCCGAGUAGUC
rnacentral:rRNA from 1 species